UGGGGAAUAUUGGACAAUGGGCGCAAGCCCGAUCCAGCAAUGCCGCGUGUGUGAAGAAGGCCUUCGGGUUGUAAAGCACUUUUAUCAGGAGCGAAACGCUGUCGGCUAAUACCCGGCGGAACUGACGGUACCUGAGGAAUAAGCACCGGCUAACUUCGUGCCAGCAGCCGCGGUAAUACGAAGGGUGCAAGCGUUAAUCGGAAUUACUGGGCGUAAAGCGUGCGUAGGCGGUUUCUUAAGUCUGCUGUGAAAUCCCGGGCUCAACCUGGGAAUGGCAGUGGAUACUGGGAGGCUAGAGUGUGUCAGAGGGUGGUGGAAUUCCCGGUGUAGCGGUGAAAUGCGUAGAGAUCGGGAGGAACAUCAGUGGCGAAGGCGGCCACCUGGGACAACACUGACGCUGAGGCACGAAAGCGUGGGGAGCAAACAGGAUUAGAUACCCUGGUAGUCCACGCCCUAAACGAUGCGAACUGGAUGUUGUCUCAACUCGGAGAUCAGUGUCGAAGCUAACGCGUUAAGUUCGCCGCCUGGGGAGUACGGUCGCAAGACUGAAACUCAAAUGAAUUGAC
rnacentral:rRNA from 1 species